UACGUAGGGUGCGAGCGUUAAUCGGAAUUACUGGGCGUAAAGCGUGCGCAGGCGGUUAUGUAAGACAGUUGUGAAAUCCCCGGGCUCAACCUGGGAAUUGCAUCCGAUACUGGCUGACUAGAGUGUGGGAGAGGAAGGUAGAAUUCCAGGUGUAGCGGUGAAAUGCGUAGAGAUCUGGAGGAAUACCGAUGGCGAAGGCAGCCUUCUGGCCUAACACUGACGCUGAGGUGCGAAAGCAUGGGGAGCAAACAGG
rnacentral:rRNA from 1 species